rnacentral:rRNA from 1 species
AGUCUAACGGCAAGGGCGACGGUUACCACGGAGUGAUUCAUGACUGGGGUGAAGUAGUAACAAGGUAGCAGUAGGGGAACCUGCGGCUGGAUCACCUCCUU